AUACUUCCCUGGUGCCGGCACCUCGAUGAUCGCCGAGGACAAGCCCCAAUGGGGAGGCACGGGCAUUGCACUGCACUCGAGUUGACCCCUGCCACUACCCCAAACUGGGCAAAUGGGGCAUGUACAGUCGGGAUCAAUUUGAAGGUUAUCGCGG
rnacentral:snRNA from 1 species